GAUGAACGCUAGCGGCAGGCUUAACACAUGCAAGUCGAGGGGCAGCACGGGUAGCAAUACCUGGUGGCGACCGGCGCAAGGGUGCGUAACGCGUGAGCAACAUGCCCUAUACAGGGGGAUAAUCCAGGGAAACUUGGUCUAAUAUCCCAUAGUAUUUAGAGGAGGCAUCUUCUAUAAAUUAAAGCUUCGGUGGUAUAGGAUUGGCUCGCGUGACAUUAGCUAGAUGGUGAGGUAACGGCUCACCAUGGCAAUGAUGUCUAGGGGUUCUGAGAGGAAGGCCCCCCACACUGGGACUGAGACACGGCCCAGACUCCUACGGGAGGCAGCAGUGAGGAAUAUUGGUCAAUGGGCGCAAGCCUGAACCAGCCAUCCCGCGUGCAGGAAGACGGCCCUAUGGGUUGUAAACUGCUUUUCCAGGGAGAGAAACUUACGCACGUGUUGCGUGACUGACGGUACCCUGGGAAUAAGCAUCGGCUAACUCCGUG
rnacentral:rRNA from 1 species